UACGGAGGGGGCUAGCGUUGUUCGGAAUUACUGGGCGUAAAGGGCGCGUAGGCGGUCUUUUAAGUUCCGUGUGAAAUCCCUCGGCUCAACUGGGGAACUGCACGGGAAACUGGAAGGCUUGAGUUCGGGAGAGGGAAGCGGAAUUCCGGGUGUAGCGGUGAAAUGCGUAGAUAUCCGGAGGAACACCGGUGGCGAAGGCGGCUUCCUGGACCGACACUGACGCUGAGGCGCGAAAGCUAGGGGAGCAAACGGG
rnacentral:rRNA from 1 species